rnacentral:rRNA from 1 species
UACGGAGGGUGCAAGCGUUGUUCGGAAUUAUUGGGCGUAAAGGGCAGGUAGGUGGUCUGAUAAGUCUACUGUGAAAUCCCCGGGCUUAACUCGGGAAGUGCGGUGGAUACUGUCAGACUAGAGUGCUGGAGGGGUGCGUGGAAUUCCCGGUGUAGCGGUGAAAUGCGUAGAGAUGCGGAGGAACACCGAUGGCGAAGGCAGCCUCCUGGGAUAACACUGACGCUCAGGCACGAAAGCGUGGGGAGCAAACAGG